ACCCGGGUGGUGAAAUUGGUAGACACGUACGCUUGAGGGGCGUAUGCCGCAAGGUGUGCAGGUUCAAAUCCUGUUCCGGGUA
rnacentral:tRNA from 1 species